UGCUGCCUUGCAGAGGCUGUGUUUCUGUGCUCCGUUGUGGCUUUUGCCAGUUCUGAAGAUUUUGAGCCUGUUUCAGUUUUACUCUGUGUUUGCUCUGAUUGUAUUCAACCAGGUUUUGACUCCCAUAAGAUGCAGUUUCUGUGAGGCCUGUGACCUAGCCUAGAAGGUCAACCUGACAUUGCUUUCCACUGCUUCCCUGACACGUACCACUGGUCAGGGCUGAGUCUGAGUGCAAACCAAGCCUUGCUGAGUGCCGGAGACCUGCUGGAAUCCACAGGAGUAAGCUUGCCUACAAAUGACUAAUUGUAGAACUUGAUGCUGUCUAAUGGGACAUGAAACAGCCAAACUGGGCAGGUAUGGCACACCCUCAGUCCUGAAGUGGAAUGGAAUAAAGCAGAGCACAACGUGGCUUCUCUCCUGGAAACCAACACCUGAAGAUGCAUUUUAGACCUUAAAGAGCUACACUACCAGUGCCCCUGAUGUCUGAAGCCUCUGAGAUUUGCUCUUAAAGCCCUGAUUAACCCCGAGCCCUCCCAGUUGCCCAACAAAAUGGUAGUGAGAUUGUAGAGUUUAAUUAUUUACUGUUUGGAAAACACUUUCAGACAAGUAAAGAAGAGAUGUCUUGUUAGUACUGAGUUAUGUUAAGCAAUAAUCCCAAUCAAUAAAAAUCAGCAAAUAAUUAAGUAUCUUCA
rnacentral:lncRNA from 1 species